rnacentral:rRNA from 1 species
CAAUAGCGUAUAUUAAAGUUGUUGCAGUUAAAAAGCUCGUAGUUGGAUUUCGGGGCGGCCUGCCUGGUCCACCGCAAGGUGAGUACUGGUCAGCCGCCCUUCCUCUCGAAAGCCCCGACUGCUCUUCAUUGCAGUGGUCGGGUAGUUCGGGACGUUUACUUUGAAAAAAUUAGAGUGUUCAAGGCAGGCCGUCGCCUGAAUACAUUAGCAUGGAAUAAUGGAAGAGGACCUCGGUCCUAUUUUGUUGGUUUCUAGGGCCGAAGUAAUGAUUAAGAGGGACAGUUGGGGGCAUUCGUAUUUAAUUGUCAGAGGUGAAAUUCUUGGAUUUAUGAAAGACGAACUAGUGCGAAAGCAUUUGCCAAGGAUGUUUUCAUUAA